UACGUAGGGGGCGAGCGUUGCCCGGAUUUAUUGGGCGUAAAGGGCGCGCAGGCGGCUCGGCACGUCCGUUGUGAAAUCGCCCGGCUCAACUGGGCGGGGUCAGCGGAUACGGUCGAGCUUGAGCAAGCCAGGGGGCAAUGGAAUUCCCGGUGUAGUGGUGGAAUGCGUAGAUAUCGGGAGGAACACCAGUGGCGAAGGCGACUACCUGGCCUGUUUCUUGACGCUGAGGCGCGAAAGCUAGGGGAGCAAACGGG
rnacentral:rRNA from 1 species